GGCACUAUAGCCAAGUGGUUAAGGCGACAGAUUAGAAUGACCUGCAAUGUUUGCUAUCUGUUACUCUUUGAGUGCGCAGGUUCAAAUCCUGCUGGUGUCG